GCCCCACCGCCCCGUCCCGGACGGGGGGGGAGGCCGCCGGCCCGACCGAAAUAGCCCCGCUACCCCCCCCGUCCCGGCUGAUGCGGCCCGCUGGAGGUUCAUGAGCCCCCCCUCGACUCCCCGAAAAGGCGAGGGAAAAGUGUGGGGGGGGCUCUCCCAUGGCGCUGCCCUCGGGAUUUCGUUUUGCCCGGGGGCUACAAUGGGGGAAAACGACGCUGUGCCCGUUGGUGCUGUUAAGGGUCGGUCAUUAUCAGCGGUAUUCGGCUGCCGGGGAUGCAUCGCCCGGCUGCGACGGCCGCAGCCCCCUCCCCCCCCCUCCACCCCCCCAAAACCCCGACCCGCUGGAGCUGCGCUAAAAAGGGAAUCAAAGCGAGCCUUGUACAACAUGGGGGCAUCCAGCCGAGGCAGCUUCAUUAAUAAUCGUAUUCAGGUGCAUGGAAUAGUCACAAGGAAAAUCCUUUCGAAUCUUUCCAGCGAGCAAAACUUAUUAAAAGAUGCAGUUUUGGAGCCAGAUACCCUUUGCUUUGCGCUCCCAGGGAAGGGAAAAAGCUAUCGAGAUUUAUUUUUUAUGUUAUUUUAUUUUAUUUUAUUCGUUUCUCUGAGGGAGAUCUGCAUUUUGGGGGCUUUUGUUUGUUUAUUUGCGCAGAGCCGAAUGAGGUGGCACGCUCCGGUGAAGGAGCAGAAAUCCUCGUGUAAAAAAUCCUGGGGCAAAGCUCCCGCUUUCGUGGGAUGGGAUCUGGGCUUCUCUUGGCUGCAUCGGGCAGCAAGGAGAGGAAUUCCUAGCGUGGUUCGCCUGCGCUACCAUCUCGGAGGUCCUGUCCGGACCGUCGAGUGGCUCUGCUGAGAGAACUGGAAGAUUUCUGAUUGUAGCCCGACAAGGAAAUAGCUGCCACUUAUGAGACGUAACUGCUUUCACUCGAGCAUUUUACCUAUCCCCGAAAUGCAAAUUUAUCCCUAAUUUCAAUAGUGAGUGGGCUGCUUCGUCAGAGAGGCUGAGGAAGGGCUGACUAAUAAAUAUACCCCAGAGAUAAAUUAUCCCCUCGAAUGAGGUUAUCAGCACUUAAAUUGUAGGGGCGCUUUCGAGACGUGAAAAUAUAGGUAUGUGACAGAUAGAUAAUUGAUUAAAGCAGAAAAAAAAACCAACAACACACACCACGAAACCGACGCAGAAGUGUUAUCCGUAGGUUACCACAGAAGCGCUAACUAUCUCCACGUUGGAAGAGAUGGCAAUUUGUCUUAGAAAAAUUCAACACUACGAAAAAAAAAAAAAAAAAUCCCCUGCAGUUGCUGUCGCCCGGAAUCGAUAGGAUAGCAGAAAAUGCCUGAUGCCUGUCACCGACGAACAGUGCUGCGGAGUUAGUUUAUCUUUACAUUAAAUCUGGGACAUAUUAACUGUUCCGUGGUCUAAAGCCUGACUGCUCUGCCUAUUCCAGCCGCGACUGAAUCUGAAGGAAAUCAGAUGUGCGAGAGUGGUCGCAACGUGCUAAGCUAGAGGAGCUCGCCGGAGUUUAAACGCCGUCGCGAUGGGGAUGAGCUCGGGAGGGCGAGGAAGGAAGGAAACGGAGCCGAGCUGUCCGAGGGCGCUCCGGCAGCCUCCCCGCACCGACGGCACCUCCCGCGGCCCCGCGGCGCGCUCCCGCCGCCCUCCCCGGCCCACCCGCGGCACGGCCACGGCCACCGGUGCCCCGGCCCCGGCGGGGCCGGCGGGAGCAGCAGCCACCACCAGGCAGCCAAGAGAUGCUUGAAUCAAAAAGGCUGGAGUCUCAACAAGCAAAGUCUGAGGGCAUGGGAAAAUUGAUGCUCUGAGCCUUACUCCACCAAACACUGAGCUCGGCUGGAAGUGCGGACACUGAGGUCCUGGGGUUAGCCUUACAUCACUGGAGGACCAAAUAACAGAAGAGAAAUGCUAAAUACGAAGCUGACCAUGACAAUCAUUCCCAGGAAACUUUGCUGAUAUAUUGAAAACAAAGAUGGAACAUAUAAUACUGGAAAAACAAAACAACAACAAAAAUAACCCUCCAACAUAUGAAUAGUAUGGUGUUGAACUACAAAAAGACAUGGAUGGAUGGAUGGAUGGACGGACGGAUGGACGGAAACCAGAGGAGAGCACUGACUGUAAUCAAAGGCAGGAGCCCUGGGCAGCCUGACUCUUGUCUACAGAAGCUUCUGAGAAAAAUAUCAUCUGGCAUGCAAAGUAUUGCAUAUUUUUAAAGGACUGAAAGUACACUAGGACAGUGACUGCUUCUCCCUGAGUAUCUAGAAUAUUGAACACAAUGAUACUGUUGGAUUAAUUCAGCUCUACCCCAAAAAAAUAAUUUCCAAGACUAUAUCAAUAUGUACAUUGGUCCAUUAGUCUUUUUUGUCUCAAAAAGCAGGAGAGUUAUUUUGUUUGUUUGUUUGUUUGUUUCAGAUGUUUCCUGUGGGGUAAGAGCUUUGUAUGGCCAGAUUAUUUGGACACACUGUUUUAAAUGACUGUGAUCCUACAGAACUCUUAUGAUACUUUUCUCAUAUUUUAAUCCAAAAGAAAGUACAUACCAGACCUUUUCAUCCUGUUCUCCAAACUCUUUACCAGUGGAAUGGCCUACUAUGGCUGCAGCUGGAAGAAGUUUUAAUUAGCUGCCAAUGAUGUCAUGUCCAUGUCUGUGUUAAAGGCACAGGUCUAAGUGUUCCUUUUUAUUUAAUGUACUGCAGAAAUUCCAUUUUGGGAUAGCAUUAAGACACUUCAGAGCCAAUCUUGCAUUUCUCCCGUAGUUAAGACACUUGGCCUUCAGCCCCCUGACUUCUGACACUACCACAGUUGUGCUAUAAUCAUCCAGAAAUACACUGCCUGUUGUGUUUUAUUGCUCAUGUGAAAACUGUCCAAUUCCUUGUCAGUUGACAAGGGAGGAGCGCCGCAUUGAAGGAUUGCACAGCAGUGUGUCUGGGAGCUACGUUAUUUCACACCAGCAGCAACCUUUCAGUGUUUGUGCUGUAGCCUCAUAGAGUGUUGGUGCUUUUGCCAUACAGCAGAGAGCAAACCCUAUUGUAGUCACUCUCUCUGCCAGAGAGACUAACUCAUGUUGCCAAAUAUCUCCCCUCAACACAUUUAUUGAACAUUAAAACAGCAGAAUAGCGUUGAAUGAAGUCCAGUAAUUUUAUAGGAUAUAUUUUAGUCACUAGACUUUGAAGACUAGUCCAAUGUUAAUUAUAAAGUUUCUGUGUCUGGAUAACAUAUUGUUAACAGUUAUUUUGUAAGUGCUAAUGGCAAGAUGGAAGAUUUCCAAUAGUUUUAUUGAGGAAGUGGCAAUUAAAAUGUUGAGCGCUGCAACAUACAUACAAAAUAAAAAUAAUCCUGCAUACACAGCAUUUUAUGUUUUAAAAAAAA